AUGGCAUAUAGAAUUUUGGAAAUUCUAUUUUUUUUUUUUAUAUUCUUUUGGUUUUCGCAUGAGAUAAAUAUUGCACACAAUAGUUAAUAUUAACAUGUACAUUACUUAAAAUUCCUCAGCACGAAUAGAAGUUGACAAGACAGGGAAAUUCGUGAAAGGAUCUUGUUAUUUAAAUGCCAAGGCCCUGCACACUUAGGUCUCCAAAUAAUUGAAACUCGCUCGUGUUUAUUUUUAGUUUUAAAGACCAAGAGAAAAAGGGAAGCCUGUGGAGCUCAACCAACUACCUCCAGCAAUGAACCUGCCAGGAGUAUAAGCUUGGGCCUCAGUUGAACUUGUAAUUACCUUGUGCCCUUUCCAUUUAACUCUUCCUGACGUCGGUGCUCCUGCCCCUGUAUUUGCAUACUCCCCAUAAAACAGAGUAUCCAAUGCAAAAUUCCCAUUCCAUUCAUGCCAUCCAGCAGGCUGGAUCACAUCAGUAAUCGACGAUUGCAUGAUCACUGUCCUCGAAUAUUCUUUCCACGGCCUUCCUAGAUAUGUAGGGAAACUCUUCUGCACCGGUCUCAAAUCAGACGUUGCACCAAUUCUACAUUUCUGGAUAACAAUACCAGUAUUCUGGUUAGGGUCAGUUCUUCCUUGAGCAGUAACCAUGUUCUUCUGGCCCGAACCAGGACGCCUGGCGUGAAUAUCACAGUCUUGAAAAACAGCAGCACCAUUCCCGAAUAUAAAAUCAACGGUACCAGCGACUAAACAUUGUACAAAGAAUUGACGAUUAGAGUGGACGUAGAGGGUGUCCUGAUAAGCCAACAUGUCACAUCUAUAAAAUGCGGACAAAUCAGAGCCCACGCGAAGUGCCACGGCUUGAUGCUUCGAGGCUCCUGCUGUGUUUUGGAAGGUUAUAUCCCGGGCCAAGAACUUUUCCCCCACCGCGGCAACUGUAGCAGAGUGGAAGGUAGUGCUACCAUCUUGCACAUUCCUACUUGCUGUGAUUAUUGUAUUGCUUUUGCCAUCUCCCAUAAACAUAAUAUUCGUCUUCUUCUUUGGCACAUCCACGUUUUCCCUGUAAACACCAGCUUUUAUCCUAAUCACAUACCUCUUGCUACUCUUCUCUGGCGCUUUUGCUACCGCCUCUGACACCGUUUUGUAAUCUCCGCUUCCGUCGGCCGCCACAACCACAUCUGGCGUCACCGUCGACGACUGCAAUAACCUCCUGUCGCCGGCGGACAACCACUCCGGCCACUCGCCGUUAUCCUCUACUAACUUCCUAUUAUUGGCGGGGGCCGAUAAUUUCAUCUCAUUUGCAAUGUCGGUAUCGGUCAUGUUACAGAUCAUAGCUAAAGCAUUGCUGCACAUUUUUUCCACGUGCUUUUGGCCUUUCAACAAAACCUUGCGUACCUUUUUAUCGGCCUCAUCGUGAGAGAAACCGUCGAGGCAAGUUUCCUGGUUUGUAAUUGCGGAACUUAUUAGAGUUUUCAGGUCUUCCGCGUGUUCUUUCAAUGAUUUUUUGUUGGGAUAUAGCUCCAGAUCUUCUACAGCAGUGUGGAGCUCGUCGAGUGUCUCGUCCAUCGUCUCCAGGCAGUCAUGCAGCGCAACCUUUUCUCGUGGGGUUAAACCUUUUCUAGUUUUGAUGAGUUCCUUGACUGCAUAGUAGUUGCGUCGAACGGCUUUGACAGUGAUAUUCAAGGACAAUUCAAUCACAUCUUUUUGGCUUGUUACUUUUUUUGAGAAAUCAGAAACAUUGACAAUCGCAGAGUAACACAGUUCGGGGUGUAGAGUGUUGCUACACGCAGAUUUUACAAUAGCAUGGGCUGAAGACGAAAUGGCCAUUAUGUCUGCAUGAUCGUCGGAGUUUUUCGAAUGAGAUUUUACUCCGGCGACUACUCCGAUUACUGCAGCAACCAGCAGGACUGAGGCAACAAUGGCCAAGUAGAUUUUUUUCUUCCUUUUACAAAAAUCGAUUUGUUUGCUGAAAAAAUCUUCAACACGUGUCAUUUUGGAUGAAGAAAUUUAAGGGAGAGUUGUGG
rnacentral:misc_RNA from 1 species